UUAGUACUCCCUCGGUCCGGAAAUACUUGUCGGACAAAUGGGUAAAAAUGGAUGUAUCUCAAACUAAAAUACGUCUAGAUACACUCAUUUCUCCGACAAGUAUUUUCGGACGGAGGGAGUACAAU
rfam:Triticum aestivum genome assembly, contig: Triticum_aestivum_CS42_TGACv1_scaffold_066019_1DL